rnacentral:rRNA from 1 species
UACAGAGGUGGCAAGCGUUGUUCAGAAUUACUGGGCGUAAAGCGUGCGCAGGCGGUUCGUUAAGUCAGAUGUGAAAGCCCCGGGCUCAACCUGGGAACUGCAUUUGAAACUGGCGGGCUUGAGUAUGGCAGAGGGGGGUGGAAUUCCGCGUGUAGCAGUGAAAUGCGUAGAGAUGCGGAGGAACACCGAUGGCGAAGGCAGCCCCCUGGGCCAAUACUGACGCUCAGGCACGAAAGCGUGGGGAGCAAACAGG